AAAAGAUAGUGAUUGGAUUUUGGAAAAUGGUGUUGAUAUAAUUAAAAAUUUAUUAAAAGGAAGUACAGAUAGUAAAAAAAGAGUUUUACUUUGGUUAAAUUUUAUUUUAAAAUCAAAUGAAAAAAAAAACAAAAAUAAUGUAUCAUUAUUCUAGUUAUCCUCAAUCAUUAGAUACAUCUUAUGCUUUAUUUUUGAAACUAUUAGGAGAAAAUUCAUAUGGCUUUUGUUUAAACAUUUUGUGGAUUAUGUUAUGUUUAUGUGAACCUAUAACAAUUAACAAAAUAAAUGAUAUUGAUUUUUUUUUUCUUCUUAGAGAUGACCCUUUUUCCAAAUUUUUAUUAACAAAUAUAACUAAUAAUUCUUCAUUUGAGGAAAAAUCGAAUGUAGAAAAAAUAAAAAAAAAGUUAAGUAUAUUAGAAUGUUUUCAAAAAGAACCUAAAUUUAUUACAUGUAUAUUUUGGAUGACAUUUAAAUCUAUGAGUGUUUUUUUUAAACCUGCUAUAAAUGAAUUUUUAAAAAUAAUACAAAGAGUAGGUCAUGUGAAAGAUAAAAAUAUUUAUUAUAUGAAUAUACAUACUUGGAAAAUAUUUUUUUACAACCCUAGAUUUCUUCAGUUAGUAUUUAAAUUUCUACACUUAUCAAUGAGAUACAUUUUAAAUACGGCAUAUUUAUAUGACAUGCGUGGUAACUUAAACAAUGAAAUGUAUAAUUACUUGGUUAAUCAUAAAAUGAAUUAUUCUCAUAUAGUAUUAAAAUCAUGUCCUCCUCCGAAUGAAAAAAUGUAUGAUAAAUGGCAAAGUGGUACUACCGUCGUUAAUAAUGGUAUACCCCAUACUGUUGACACAGUUGUUGACACAGUUGUUGAUAGUGCUGUUAAUGUUGGCGGUUGUAAUAUGGCUGGCGGUACAAAAAAGUUGGAUAAUGCAUCCGUGGUGGGAAAUGAAGAGAACAUAGAUCAACCAAACAACGUUCACUUGGAAGAAAGUAACAAGAUUGAAAUAAAAAAAGAAAAUAUGAACAUAUCGUCUGAAUUAUUAUCUAAUGAAGAAGAUCAUUUACAUGCUGCUCCACAGUUUUCUAUUAUACCUACAUUUUUUCUUAGUGAUAUUUUUGACAUAAUUUAUUUAUUAUUUGAAUUAGAUUCUUAUAAAAGUCAUAAUGGUGUAGAUUUAGCAAGUUAUUUAGAUGUAGAUUUAUUUUUGGCAUUUACUAUUUUUAC
rnacentral:lncRNA from 1 species